GCUGCAUGUACCUCUUAGCGAGAUUGACAUAGAAAAACAAGGGUUUCUUGGUGUUGGAGACCUGAAUCCGAUUCUUCUUAUACGAAUCGGAACUCAAGUUCAUGGAGUUCACGCCUUCUACAAUUUCUUCCAUGAAGCUCUUCCUCAACCUCGCAAAAACCCUAGAAAAACUCCAACUCAAAACCCUAGCUUCUCGGGUUAUUGGAGGUCGAAGGAAGACUUAU
rnacentral:misc_RNA from 1 species